CUGAUUAGAAGCUUGCUUCUAUGACGUUAGCGGCGGACGGGUGAGUAACACGUGGGCAACCUGCCUGUAAGACUGGGAUAACUUCGGGAAACCGAAGCUAAUACCGGAUAGGAUCUUCUCCUUCAUGGGAGAUGAUUGAAAGAUGGUUUCGGCUAUCACUUACAGAUGGGCCCGCGGUGCAUUAGCUAGUUGGUGAGGUAACGGCUCACCAAGGCAACGAUGCAUAGCCGACCUGAGAGGGUGAUCGGCCACACUGGGACUGAGACACGGCCCAGACUCCUACGGGAGGCAGCAGUAGGGAAUCUUCCGCAAUGGACGAAAGUCUGACGGAGCAACGCCGCGUGAGUGAUGAAGGCUUUCGGGUCGUAAAACUCUGUUGUUAGGGAAGAACAAGUACGAGAGUAACUGCUCGUACCUUGACGGUA
rnacentral:rRNA from 1 species